rnacentral:rRNA from 1 species
GACGAACGCUGGCGGCGUGCCUAAUACAUGCCAGUCGAACGCAUUUUCUUUCACCGUAGCUUGCUACACCGAAAGAAAAUGAGUGGCGAACGGGUGAGUAACACGUGGGUAACCUGCCCAUCAGCGGGGGAUAACACUUGGAAACAGGUGCUAAUACCGCAUAAUUCCAUUUACCGCAUGGUAGAUGGGUGAAAGGCGCUUUUGCGUCACUGACGGAUGGACCCGCGGUGCAUUAGCUAGUUGGUGGGGUAACGGCCUACCAAGGCUGCGAUGCAUAGCCGACCUGAGAGGGUGAUCGGCCACACUGGGACUGAGACACGGCCCAGACUCCUACGGGAGGCAGCAGUAGGGAAUCUUCGGCAAUGGACGCAAGUCUGACCGAGCAACGCCGCGUGAGUGAAGAAGGUUUUCGGAUUGUAAAACUCUGUUGUUAGAGAAGAACAAGGAUGAGAGUGGAAAGUUCAUCCCUUGACGGUAUCUAACCAGAAAGCCACGGCUAACUACGUG